GAGGGUAUAGCUCAAAUGGUAGAUUGCACGCCUAGCAUGCACGAGGUUCUGGGUUCAAUCCCCAGUACCUCCU
rnacentral:tRNA from 1 species